rnacentral:lncRNA from 7 species
AAGAAGUCUCCAGCCUUACUGCAGAGGCAUAGGUAUGUACUACUGCCAAAAGCAGAACAGUUGACUUUAAUGAUCGGAAUGGAAACAGCAAAGGCAACGAUUAGCUCUCGCUAUUUUUAAUACCUUGAGGAAAUGCCAGUGAUACUAAAGGUUUGUGGAAUGAAGAAGGCAGAAGACUGCUGGGAGUCUUCCUUCAGACAGCGUUGUGGAUGUAUGUGAUGUGCAAACACCAUAGCUGCUGUGACCAGCCUCUCUGGGAGAGUUAAGAGUGUGUUCCUGCCAUUCAAACUGCCAAAGCAAGAAGCUGCAAAUGAGAUUACGCUCUGACCAAAUCAUGCUGGAACAAGUACAACAGGAGAACCAGUGCCUGAAUCAGCAACUUGCCCAUCUGACGGCUGCAUUUAUGGCACUGCAGAAAAUGGAAAGCCAUGCGGGAAGCUAGACUGUAGAGAAGAUGAAUGUUGAUGUGUAAGGAAGAGGAUCAACUUAUGGAGCACGAGACCCAAGAAAUGAAAUGGACAUUAUUCCCUCCAAAGAGACUGUUUUUCUGGAAAUUGAGGGUUGUUUUUUUUUUUUUUUUUUUGCUAAGAUCAUCAGUACCUUUCGCUGUGCUAAGGUACAUCAUAUGUUACAGUAUGCAUUGUACAUUUGUCUAUGGUAUUUUAUACAAGUCUGAUUUCAGUGGUAAAUCUUGUAUGUUAAGAGUCUCCUUAUAUUUGGAUUACUGUUCAAAAUUGUGCAGAACAAACUGAGACUAACGCUCUCCUGAGGAAGCU